rnacentral:rRNA from 1 species
ACAGUGGACGCGAGCAUCUUUGUUGUAAGUAAUGAAGAGCGUACGGUGGAUGCCUUGGCACCAGGAGCCGAUGAAGGACGUAGGAGGCUGCGAUAAGCCUCGGGGAGCUGUCAACCGAGCUGAGAUCCGAGGGUGUCCGAAUGGGGAAACCCAGCACGAGUGAUGUCGUGUUACCUGCACCUGAAUAUAUAGGGUGUGUGGAGGGAACGUGGGGAAGUGAAACAUCUCAGUACCCACAGGAAGAGAAAACAACAGUGAUUCCGUCAGUAGUGGCGAGCGAACGCGGAAGAGGCCAAACCAUGUGCAUGUGAUACCCGGCAGGGGUUGUGCGUGUGGGGUUGUGGGGUUUGUCUUGUCGAUUCUGCCGGAUCGGCCGACAGUAAGAAAUCAUGUGGUUAGUCGAAGUGGUCUGGGAUGGCCUGUCGUAGAGGGUGAGAGUCCCGUAGACGAAAACUGUGUGACUGUCGUGAUGAAUGCCCAAGUAGCAGCGGGCCCGUGAAAUCUGCUGUGAAUCUGUCGGGACCACCCGAUAAGCCUGAAUACUCCCUGGUGACCGAUAGCGGACUAGUACCGUGAGGGAAAGGUGAAAAGUACCCCGGGAGGGGAGUGAAAUAGUACCUGAAACCGUGCGCUUACAAUCCGUCAGAGCCUUCGAGUGACUUGUCACUGGGGGUGAUGGCGUGCCUUUUGAAGAAUGAGCCUGCGAGUUAGUGGUAUGUGGCGAGGUUAACCCGUGUGGGGUAGCCGUAGCGAAAGCGAGUCCGAAUAGGGCGUUCCAGUCGCAUGCUCUAGACCCGAAGCGGAGUGAUCUACCCAUGGCCAGGGUGAAGCGACGGUAAGACGUCGUGGAGGCCCGAACCCACUUAGGUUGAAAACUGAGGGGAUGAGUUGUGGGUAGGGGUGAAAGGCCAAUCAAACUCCGUGAUAGCUGGUUCUCCCCGAAAUGCAUUUAGGUGCAGCGUCGCGUGUUUCAUCCUGGAGGUAGAGCUACUGGAUGGUCUAGAGGGCCCACAAGCUUAUCGAAAUCAGCCAAACUCCGAAUGCCAGGAUGUGAGAGCGCGGCAGUGAGACUGCGGGCGAUAAGGUUCGUAGUCGAGAGGGAAACAGCCCAGAUCGCCGGCUAAGGCCCCUAAGCGUGUACUAAGUGGAAAAGGAUGUGAAGUCGCGAAGACAACCAGGAGGUUGGCUUAGAAGCAGCCACCCUUGAAAGAGUGCGUAAUAGCUCACUGGUCAAGUGAUUUUGCGCCGACAAUGUAGCGGGGCUCAAGUACACCGCCGAAGCCGCGGCAUUCGCACAAUAGCCCCCGGUUCCCUUGCGAGGGUUCCGGCAGGUGUGUGGAUGGGUAGGGGAGCGUCGUGUGGCCAGGGAAGCGCCGGAGUGAUCCAGGUGUGGAGGCCACGCGAGUGAGAAUGCAGGCAUGAGUAGCGAAAGACGAGUGAGAAACUCGUCCGCCGAAUGAUCAAGGGUUCCUGGGCCAGGUUAAUCCGCCCAGGGUGAGUCGGGACCUAAGGCGAGGCCGACAGGCGUAGUCGAUGGACAACGGGUUGAUAUUCCCGUACCCGUGUAUCCGCGCCCAUGAUGAAUCAGGAGUACUAACCGUCCAGAGCCGCCAGGAGCACCUUCGGGUGCCGGGUGUGGUGAUGCACGGGACCUUUCCUGGUAGUAGUCAAGCGAUGGGGUGACGCAGGAAGGUAGCUGAGCCAGUCAGUGGUAACACUGGUGUAAGCCUGUAGGGCGAGACCUAGGCAAAUCCGGGUCUCACAUAAGCCUGAGAGGUGAUGCAUAGCCGAAUGAGGCGAAUUCAGUGAUCCUAUGCUGCCGAGAAAAGCCUCUAGCGAGCUGGUACACGGCCCGUACCCCAAACCGACACAGGUGAUCAGGUAGAGAAUACCAAGGCGAUCGAGAUAACUAUGGUUAAGGAACUCGGCAAAAUGCCCCCGUAACUUCGGGAGAAGGGGGACCCCUGCUGGUGAUCACUCUUGCAGUGUGAGCUGGUGUGGGUCGCAGAGACCAGUGAGAAGCGACUGUUUACUAAAAACACAGGUCCGUGCGAAGUCGUAAGACGAUGUAUACGGACUGACGCCUGCCCGGUGCUGGAAGGUUAAGAGGACCGGUUAGUUCCUUCGGGAGCGAAGCUGAGAAUUUAAGCCCCAGUAAACGGCGGUGGUAACUAUAACCAUCCUAAGGUAGCGAAAUUCCUUGUCGGGUAAGUUCCGACCUGCACGAAUGGCGUAACGACUUCUCAGCUGUCUCAACCAUAGACUCGGCGAAAUUGCAUUACGAGUAAAGAUGCUCGUUACGCGCGGCAGGACGAAAAGACCCCGGGACCUUCACUACAGCUUGGUAUUGGUGUUCGGUUCGGUUUGUGUAGGAUAGGUGGGAGACUGUGAAGCAUGCACGCCAGUGUGUGUGGAGUCGUUGUUGAAAUACCACUCUGAUCGUAUUGGAUACCUCAACCUCGGACCAUGAUCUGGUUCAGGGACAGUGCCUGGUGGGUAGUUUAACUGGGGCGGUUGCCUCCCAAAAUGUAACGGAGGCGCCCAAAGGUUCCCUCAGCCUGGUUGGCAAUCAGGUGUCGAGUGCAAGUGCACAAGGGAGCUUGACUGUGAGACUGACAAGUCGAGCAGGGACGAAAGUCGGGACUAGUGAUCCGGCACCGGCAAGUGGAAGCGGUGUCGCUCAACGGAUAAAAGGUACCCCGGGGAUAACAGGCUGAUCUUCCCCAAGAGUCCAUAUCGACGGGAUGGUUUGGCACCUCGAUGUCGGCUCGUCGCAUCCUGGGGCUGGAGUAGGUCCCAAGGGUUGGGCUGUUCGCCCAUUAAAGCGGCACGCGAGCUGGGUUUAGAACGUCGUGAGACAGUUCGGUCUCUAUCCGCCGCGCGCGUCAGAAACUUGAGGAAGGCUGUCCCUAGUACGAGAGGACCGGGACGGACGAACCUCUGGUGUGCCAGUUGUUCCACCAGGAGCACCGCUGGUUAGCUACGUUCGGAAGGGAUAACCGCUGAAAGCAUCUAAGCGGGAAGCCUGUUCCAAGAUGAGGUUUCUCAC